CUCCCGCCCCCCCGGUGCGGCAGCGCUGCCCGGCGCGCUCGGCGCUGGCGGCUGGGGCCAGGUGGGGGCAGGCUGGGAGCAGAGAUCUUCCGAGUACUUGGCUUUUCGGGGCUCCACACCCAAUGUGGGACUUGAACUCAUGACCCUGAGAUUGAGAGUUGGAUCCUCUACUGACCGAGCCAGCCAGGCAUCCUCCAAGUCUUCAUAUUUCAGUCCUCAAAAGGCCUCUCCAUGCUUACCACAUUUGCGCUGCUCUGGGUCUCAUCCUUUCGUGGCCUGGAUAUCUCAACACUUCCCCAGUGGACUCCUAGCCUUCGGUCUCUCCCACUGUGAUGCAUCCUUCAUGCCGUCUGCAACACUGCUAAAGACAGACGUUCUGCUGCAGAGGCAGAGUUAGGUGAUGGAAGGAGCAUGGACUGGGGAGCCAGACAGAUCCGGGGCUGAGCCCUGACUUCUACACCAGGACCUCAGGGCGAUGAAGGAUCAAAGAGGUUCAGACCACAGUGGGUUAUCAAGGAGACCUGGCCUGGGCCAGGCCUAUAGGCAGGAGAUUAGGGCCUCCAGAGGCUCCCUGAGUACACGGGAAUCCUGAGAGAGGGAAAGCACCAGCUUUGAAGCAGGUGGCAAGAAGAAAGUAUAUAGAACUGGAAUCUGGCUGGCUACCCUCCCAGAGAAAAAGCUGAACCCUGCCUUUUGGGUGCCACUAGAGAGAGAAGGCAAGAAUUGGAAGACCCAGAGGCCAAGAGACACUCUGAUCACACAGAAACCUCCUAGCUAAGAAGGUAAACCCAGACAUUUCUUGGGAAGGUGUUCCUAGAUUUGCUUGGGAUGACAUAAUUGUUUUCUUAGUGAAUAUGCAUCUCUCAAUCCUGGGAAGAUUUAGAAUUAAAUAGAGAGAUAAUGAAGGAAAUCAAACCUCAUGGUGUUAUAUUUUUGUUUAAGAAUCUACAUAUUUGGUAUUUUAAAUGUCUCUAAUGUGUGAUGUUUUAAAUACUCCUCAUAUUUAAUAAUAUUUAAUAGAAACAUUCUUGAUGUUUAAUAAAGUAUCUGAAAAUUAACCUUGCAAUGCAGAUUUAAAGUAUGUAACUGACUAAUUAUUAAGACUUUUGAUUUUAAGUUAAAAAUCCUUUUAAAGUUUAUACACUAUAUUGGAACUUUUAAGAAAACUUACCGCUUACCGGAUGUGUUUAUUAGUUUUAUGAGAAUUACUUAAGAAUUUGGGAGGCUUUGUUAAUCAGAAAAUUGAUGUGUUUGGGAAAAAAUAUUCAAAUUAUUAAAUUAAUAAACGCAGUUUAAAAUGAUUAA